CACAUGCAAGUCGAGGGGCAGCAUUGGAGUAGCAAUACUUCGAGAUGGCGACCGGCGCACGGGUGAGUAACACGUAUCCAACCUGCCGCUUACUACGGGGAUAGCCUUUCGAAAGAAAGAUUAAUACCCGAUGGUAUAAAGAGUUCGCAUGUUCUCUUAUUAAAGAAUUUCGGUAAGCGAUGGGGAUGCGUUCCAUUAGAUAGGUUGGCGGGGUAACGGCCCACCAAGUCUACGAUGGAUAGGGGUUCUGAGAGGAAGGUCCCCCACAUUGGAACUGAGACACGGUCCAAACUCCUACGGGAGGCAGCAGUGAGGAAUAUUGGUCAAUGGGACGAGAGUCUGAACCAGCCAAGUAGCGUGAAGGAUGACUGCCCUAUGGGUUGUAAACUUCUUUUAUAAGGGAAUAAAGUGAGGGACGUGUCCCUUUUUGUAUGUACCUUAUGAAUAAGGAUCGGCUAACUCCGUGCCAGCAGCCGC
rnacentral:rRNA from 1 species